UAGACCUGAGGUCAGGCAAGACCACCCGCUGAACUUAAGCAUAUCAAUAAGCGGAGGAAAAGAAACUAAC
rnacentral:rRNA from 2 species